rnacentral:rRNA from 1 species
GAACGCUAGCGGCAGGCUUAACACAUGCAAGUCGAGGGGUAUUCUAGCAAUAGGAGAGACCGGCGCACGGGUGCGUAACGCGUAUGCAAUCUACCUUUCACAAAGGAAUAGCCCAGAGAAAUUUGGAUUAAUGCCUUAUAGUAUAGUACCUUGGCAUCAAGGAACUAUUAAAGAUUUAUCGGUGAAAGAUGAGCAUGCGUCCCAUUAGCUAGUUGGUAAGGUAACGGCUUACCAAGGCUACGAUGGGUAGGGGUCCUGAGAGGGAGAUCCCCCACACUGGUACUGAGACACGGACCAGACUCCUACGGGAGGCAGCAGUGAGGAAUAUUGGUCAAUGGGCGCAAGCCUGAACCAGCCAUGCCGCGUGCAGGAUGACGGU